ensembl:snRNA U6 U6 spliceosomal RNA
GUGUCACGUCAGCAGCACAUAUGCUAAAAUUGGAAUGAUAAAGAACAGCACAGCUCCUGUGCAAGGACGACACCAAAUUCACAAAGUGUUCCAUACCAUU